GACGACCGCUGGCGGCGUGCUUAACACAUGCAAGUCGAACGAAGUGGCGAACGGGUGAGUAAAGCGUAAUCAACCUGCCCUUCAGAGGGGUCCAACAGUGGGCAACGAUUCCUAAUACCGCAUACUGACGGUGGGGAUUUCGUCGGCUCUGCGAGUUGGAGGGGUAACGUCCCACCAAGGCGAUGAUCAGUAGCUGGGCUGAGAGGAUGAACGGCCACAAUGGGAAUGAGAAACGGCCCAGACUCCUACUGGAGGCCGCAGUGGGGAAUCUUCCGCAAUGGACGGAAGGCUGACGGAACAACGCCGCGUGAGUGAUGACGGCCUUCGGGUUGUAAAGCUCUGUUAAUCGGGACGCGGUACCGGAAUAGAAAGCCACGGCUAACUACGUGCCAGCAGCCGCGGUAAUUC
rnacentral:rRNA from 1 species